CGCGUGCCUUCUGUCUGCUGUGGGCCCAGCAGCUGCACAGACCCCUCUUGUUGGGAGACAAGACAGGGCUCUUUCUCUCCCGUGACCUCAGCCUCAUCUCCAAUCGUGGGGAAGAGAGAAACUGAAAUUCUUCCUGUGACUGAACACAUGAGAAUGCAACAGUUACUUGGGGUAACAGGUUUCCUGUGGGUCCUGUGUGAAGAGUAUGCAUUCAUUCCAGUGUCGGGGAGGGGAGAAGAAUGAGGAGGAGGCAGUCCCAUGUGGAUGUCAGUGUGAUGAUUAGGAUGCCUGAUGCUUCCGAAACAAGAAUACACUUUACGAAAAUGCCCAUUGAAAAUACUUUUUCCUUUCUACUCUUGUGCUAAGAGUGCCUGUUUGGACCCCAUGGCUUCGUAAUGGGAGGAAGAGGCUACAGCACUGGCGCACUCCCAGCAAUGGCUUUUACCCUUGUCCCACGGCCCCCCUGCCCAACUCAAGAAGGUGAUGAAAUAGGCUGCAGAAGUUCCCAGCCAGGCAAGUAGAAGCAGGGUAUUGUGAAGAUGAAAGCAAAGAUAUGGCAAGAGCUCAGAAGAGUACCUGGCCCAUAUUAAGUGACCAUGCUCAAGAGCUUCAGAAUCUUUACAACGUGAAAGA
rnacentral:lncRNA from 1 species